AAGUCGAGGGGUAAGGCUCACUUCGGUGAGUACACGACCGGCGCACGGGUGCGUAACGCGUAUGCAACCUACCUUUAACAGAGGGAUAGCCCCGAGAAAUCGGGAUUAAUACCACAUAACACCACAUUGUUUCAUGACAGCGUGGUUAAAGCUCCGGCGGUUAAAGAUGGGCAUGCGUGACAUUAGCUAGUUGGUAAGGUAACGGCUUACCAAGGCUACGAUGUCUAGGGGUUCUGAGAGGAUGAUCCCCCACACUGGUACUGAGACACGGACCAGACUCC
rnacentral:rRNA from 2 species